rnacentral:tRNA from 1 species
GGGCCUCUAGCUCAAUCGGUUAGAGCUGCGGACUUUUAAUCCGUAGGUUGUGGGUUCGAGUCCCACGGGGCCCA